CCCGCCCCCAGCCUAGGCCGGCGCGGGGCCGCAGCCAGCACCGCUCAUCCGCCAGUUGCGAAGCCCCCUUCAAUUGCCCCCUCCCUGCGCCCGCCGUUUCCCCGCGAGCAGCUCACGGGUGUCCGAGCCGCCCCGGGACGAGCAGCGCCCGCUUGGGGGAGGGCCACAUUAAUGGGGUGACGCCCCUGGCCCCUCGUGGGGCCUGGCCGCGCUGGGAAACAGCAUCGUGGGCAGCAGCCUGGCUUAGCGCCGGGAAGCCGUGUCAGUCUCCGCCACCGCCGAGUGCCACAUCGUGCCAGGCCCGGUCUCCGGUGGAAACUUGCUGCCCUGGCGGUAACGUUAGUGUGGUUGGGGGUAAUUCGUAUCUUCCCUGGCGUGUCGCUACCAGGAUGUGCCCUUGGUGUCGACUCAGCUGUGGUGACGCAGAAGUCCGUUGCUGGUAUCGCUUCUUUCCCUCAGGCAACAGGCCUAAGGCGUCCCUGCCAAAGCUCUUUUUUCACCUGUAUACGCUGUGGCCGACUGCCAGUAGCAAACCUCUCCCAGUGUAGACAGAUCCUUAGGGUAUGUCUACACUGCGAAGUUGUCAACACAACUUUUGUCUUUCAUGGGUACUUUGAAAAGUCGUCCCCCAACCCGGGCCUGCGAAAGGCAAAAGUUUUGCUGAGGCAAGUGGCAGUGUACACAUGGCUUUGUUGGCAGGAGCAUUCGCCUGCCAACAAAGCUAAAGCUGCUUGUGGGGCUGGAAGUAUUUUGUGGGUAAAAGUGCCAACAAAAAGUGUUUACACACGCUGACUUUUAGCAACAAGGCUGUGUACAACCUUGUUGCUAAAAACUGUGUGAGGUAGAUGAGCCCUUAGUUGGUAUGUGUUAUAGCACAACUCUUAUGUGCCUCUUUAAUGGCAUGUUCCUUUAACCCUUUCUUGUGCAAAUAGCCUGGAAACACACAAGUAGACUGUUAUUCGCUUGAGUAAGGCCUGUUCAUGUGAUUAAUAGUUGCAGGAGUUAGCCCUAAAUUAGGUCCUGAUUCUGUAGCUGACUGCACAGCAGACUCUUGUGCAGCAUCUCAUUAACUUCAAGGCCCUGAUCAGAUUUGUGUAGAUAGGUUCCCAUUCAAGUCCUCAAAGAAUCUGAUUUUGUUUUAAGCAAGAGCUAAUAAAGUAUUCAAAAACCUUUUCCUAUCAUUGGGGGAAAUAAUUUGCCAAUAGAAAUGUUUAUUAUUUGACUAUAUAAGUGAUGCAAUAAAGUAAUAAAAUAAUUUGGCCACAUAUGCUGUACUGUACAUGGGAAUCACACUGUGUACAUGCAUAUACCCACAACUACACUUGUGCUGUUGUUACAUGGUGUUGGCACUACCAUUUCAGGGGUUGUAUCCCAAUGUGCUAUGCAUCACUGCAGACACCCUAGGAAGUGCCUUGCUGUGUACUGUUAGUGCUAUUCCCCCCUACCAUCACACAUUUGCUGAUGACAGUUCCUGCUCACCUCCUGCCAAACUGGGUGGAAGGCAGGGAGCAACUGGAUGAUGAUCUGGUUCUGCUGCUGCUUCUUAUUGCAGUGCAAAUGUUUAUGUGGUGGCAUUUUUGAUCGGUGAAAUACAGGAUGAAAUCUGGGCUGAACUUUCUGACAUGGUGAAGACAACCAACUAUGACAGGGGUAUCCUUAGGAUUUUGGAUACUUCUUAAACUGAUGCAGGGAUUGUGGGCGUAGGAUGGACAGAAAAGUGUUUGCAGUAUGAUGGCACCAGUCAGCUACAUCAUUCCAGUUCAUGUUCUAUUCUGGGUGAGAUACUUUUUCAGAAGAUAUACAUCUAUCACCAGAGAAUAGUAACUCCCUGUUGAAAGACUCUGCUGAAAUUUCAAAGCCUGUGCUCCCUCUUCUGUUAGACCUCUGUGUGUUUUUUACCACUGAAAGGUUUGCUAGAAGAUGUGAUGGAUCGGGUUGGAAGAGACUGCUUUUGGGAUUUUUUCUUUUCUUUAUGAGACUUGGGGAAAACAGCUUAAAAGUGGUAUAUUUUUUAUUAAAUGAUUGAUAUGUGUCCUGAAGUCAUAACAUAAGAUAUAUUUUGAAUUUAUAAUAUUUCCAUUUAGGAAAUGCUAGUACUGCUGUCAAUGAAGGCGUAGCUAAUAAUAUAGUAAAAGUUGCUGGUUAUGCAGAAGAUGAUUUGAUCAAUGUUAUUUUUGAAGCUUGCAACCUUAAGGAAACAGGUACUCUUGUUAUACUGGUACUCAAUCAAAAUAGGACAGGUAAACAUAUACUAAACUGUGCUCCAUAUCACUGCUUUUUCUACAGGACUAGUUCCUGCUUCUGUUUUUAUAAAAUAUUUGGAAGAUGUGACAGGAUAGAGCCAUGAGAAAUGCAGAUUAUUAAUCCUCUACAAUAUGUUAGACCCUAAAAGGCAGAAUAUCUUUAUUGCUAGAGAAACAUUUCAUGCUAAUAUGAAAAGCUGGAUUACCACAUGCUAUCACGACUGGUAACUGAGUUUAUUUUUAUUCAAACUGUUUUGACUUGGUUAUAUUUGAUUUGUAUGCAUGAUGGAUCUAAUACUGAAGUCAGUGGUGGUUUUGCCUUAAUGAGGCUCUUGAGUAUGUCUCCAAAGUUUACUAUGCAAAAAACAAAUGUGAAAAUGAAGAAAUGAUGGUAAUUUUAUGGUUAAGGCACAGCAUUCAAUGGCAUAGCUGGCAUCUGUCCUAGCUGUUCCAUUGACUUCCUGUGUCACAUUAGGCAAGUUACUUAGACCUAAAUCCACUCCUGAGUACCCAGCCUGCUAGAUAAAGCUCUGCCUUCUCAUCUGUUUUAUCUAUUCCCUACAGCUACCCAUCUACCUGCACAGAAGAGGGAGUAGCAGCCUUAUGUGGGUUCCCCUCGCUCAUUUGUUUUGUGACCUGUGGGGAAAGUAGCUUCACUUCAUACCCUCUUACUCCUCUUCACAGGCAUGAGGAGCAAGAGACAAUGUAUUUCUAACUAAUUAUAGAGCAAAUCUCUCACCUAUGGUGUUUGAUAUAAUUCUGAAAACUACAGGAAGCAAGCUUUUCCACAAAGAAGAAAGGAAGAUAUGUGCAGUGUUUAUUUUGAUCUUUUUAAAUAGAUGGACUUAUAACGCUUUGGGAGGAAAUACAUCAUUCCUAUCUGAGGAAGACCAAGACAUUCCAGGGAACAGCUGAAGACAUAUGUUUCCUAUAGUGUAUUGUUUAGAAAUGUGUGAUUGAUUGCAGUGGGGUGGGGAAUUAUUUCUUUUAGACAUCUUCAUGUAUUGGGGGGGGUUGUUUGUUUUUUGCCUAUUUUGUGGGUAUUUAUAAUGUUACAUUUAAGGUAUGGGCAUCUUCUAUUCCUGACAUGUUACUAUUUAAAAUGGCAGAGCAUAAUACAAAAAUAGCAUCCCCUUUCCCCCCCACUCACACACACAUGCAGUGUGUGUCUGUAUUUCUCUCUCUGUCUAAACUGGUUCAUUCACCUCCUGGAGUUACUUGAUUGAAAUCAACAUAGUUACCCCAGAGAUGAAUUUGUCCAACUGCACAUAAUUAGAAGGGUUUUCAUUUAAUUUUAGAUUCAGAUCUACCUCUGCUGACCUUGUUGGGGGGUGGGUUUUUAAAAAUUUUAUUAUAUAUGCCCCUUUGUUCUAGAAAACUAAAUGUUGUUGUUUUCAAUGCAUAUUUCCUACCUCCUCCAGUUAGGGCCCCUUUUGUGUCUUGUAAGUGAACUCUCUCUCAUCUAACUUACCCAGAUAUAUAUAGAAAAUAUACUUGAGAUUUCAUAGCUCACAGAUCCAGCUGGAUUGUCUCUUCUGAGGAAAAAUCCCGUGAGAAAUGUUCAAGGGAAGGAAAUUUCCACAAGAAUGCUUUUUAAUGGGUUCUCCUGUUUUUAUCGUGGGAGACAGUUGAGCCACAGGUCAUGCGUGUCAAGCACCUACCAAAUUUGGUAGAGUCCCAACUCCCUAUAGGCACUGACUUUUUUUUGGUUUUGCCAAUGGAUGCUUUUGAAGAGAGGUGUGGGGAGCACUCUGCUAGUUUUGGGGGGAGGCUAGUUUCAGCAUAUUUAUACUUUUUUUUUUCAUAUUCUAGUUAUUGAAUGUGUCUAUCAUUGGUAUCUUAACAAUUGAAUCAUUUAUUAGUAAUGAACUACAUAAUUACAUUAUCAUGAAUUACAGUAUAUUAAGAUCCUAGUAAUCACCUACAAGCUGUCUUUAGGUCUCACUGUAGCUUUCUGGAUAAACUGUCAGCAAUCUUAUUUACAUCUAGGUUCUCUGGUAUUAUUUUGAUGCACGUUAAGGACAGCUACAUUAUUCACUUGCAUGUGUCCCAUUGACUGGAGAUAAUUUUUAAGUGUUCUGAAGCAAAAGAAUGAGCAUUCCACAGUUCAGGAUGAUACAGGCAUAGUGAGAAGGAUUCUUAUGAAUUUACAGUACUCUGGAAACAUAGUGCUUCUAGAGUACUGCAAAUGACUCGAGAUCUUACAAAACGGUGCCUAAGUCAAGAAUAAAUUGUUGGGAUUAUGUUUUGCCAUGUGCAUUACUUUGCAUUGAACACUGAAUUUCAUCUGCCAUUUUGUUGCCAAGUCACCCAGUUUUGUGAGACCCCUUUGUAACUCUUUGCAGCUGUUUUGGACUUGAAUAAUCUUGUAUCAUCUGCAAACUUUGCUACCUGUUUACCCCUUUUUGAAGAUCAUUUAUGAGUCUUUUGAACAGCACUGAUCAGAGGGUAUGGCUACACUUGCAGCUGUACAGCACUGGGAGUUACAGCUGUCUUCGUACAGCUGUGUAGGGAAAGU